CAGCGACUAACCGCUAGAGCUAUGGCAUGGCCUUAGAAGAGCUGUAGAAAUUCAGAAAAAGUUUUAGUGGGUCCACAUGGUGAGACAUACACAAUACGUCAUAAUGGAAAUCAGGCAAUGAACAUGAAAGCUGAGGAAGUCUCAUAUGCAGAAGGGAAACAAGAUCCUGUGCCAAUAACAUUUCUGGAAAUAAAGGGUGAACCUGAGUGUACCUUGUGUGCUGUUGAGUGAUGGAAGAUGACUGAAGUAAGCAAAGCAUGAGUGCUGCUGGUACUGUGUGGAUACAUUGUGUAGUUUCUGGCCAUGAGAUGAGAUAUUUGGAGGUGGAUAUGCUGGUGGGAAGGGUGGUGUACUUAUUUUCAUGUGGGACUCGAGAUUCUCAUAGCAGCGUAUUAUGUAUUAUGUACUAAAGAGUAUUAUCUUCUGGGAUAUAAAACCAUGCAGUCUUCUGAAUGUCUACUGACGUUUCGGAGAAAAUAUCACCUCAACCUUCAUGGUGACGAAUAAUCCAAGCAAGAAAUCACUGUGUAAGCAGAUGGUAAGCACAGCAAUCAACAAGCCAGAAUUUUUUACUACAUAGGAAACAGGAGGGAAAUGGAAGAGUGCAACUCAGUUCCUGUUGGCUUGCCCAUGGGACAAAAUGAAACCAUCAGUACCCACUGGCUCUCAGACCAACUACCAAAUGAACCAAGUAGAGAAGAGAACAAGAGUUUAGGGUAGCCCAGUAAAGGAACUGUUCUGCUGGUCCAGAAAAAGACAUACUUAUUUUCAGUUUCUGGUAUUAUUCAUUAUAUUGGACAAUGUGUAUUUAUUAUUACAUCAAAUAUUGGAUUAUGUGUGAGAGCAAAUGUAUCAUUCAUUUCUUAUUUUUAUUUGCUAAGGUUAUAUAUGUGAAACCGUUCUAAUGUUUAGUAGUUGACCUUUCUUCUCUAUGUGAAGUACUUCCAAUGUAUUGUUAAUUGUGCUGUAUGUAUGUCCAGUGUCUAUUUUAUAUAUAUUACGCUGAUGAUCUCUGUAGAUUAAACUAAAAUAAACUCCGUACCUUGUGUCCACAA